rnacentral:rRNA from 1 species
AUUGAACGCUGGCGGCAGGCCUGACACAUGCAAGUCGAACGGUAACAGGGAUCAGCUUGCUGAUCCGCUGACGAGUGGCGGACGGGUGAGUAAUGUCUGGGAAACUGCCUGAUGGAGGGGGAUAACUACUGGAAACGGUAGCUAAUACCGCAUAACGUCGCAAGACCAAAGAGGGGGACCUUCGGGCCUCUUGCCAUCGGAUGUGCCCAGAUGGGAUUAGCUAGUAGGUGGGGUAACGGCUCACCUAGGCGACGAUCCCUAGCUGGUCUGAGAGGAUGACCAGCCACACUGGAACUGAGACACGGUCCAGACUCCUACGGGAGGCAGCAGUGGGGAAUAUUGCACAAUGGGCGCAAGCCUGAUGCAGCCAUGCCGCGUGUAUGAAGAAGGCCUUCGGGUUGUAAAGUACUUUCAGCGGGGAGGAAGGGAGUAAAGUUAAUACCUUUGCUCAUUGACGUUACCCGCAGAAGAAGCACCGGCUAACUCCGUG